rnacentral:rRNA from 1 species
CCUCGGGUGGCUGCAGUGGGGAAUAUUGGACAAUGGGCGAAAGCCUGAUCCAGCCAUGCCGCGUGUGUGAAGAAGGCCUUCGGGUUGUAAAGCACUUUCAGUGGGGAAGAAAGCCUUGGGGCUAAUACCCUCGAGGAAGGACAUCACCCACAGAAGAAGCACCGGCUAACUCCGUGCCAGCAGCCGCGGUAAUACGGGAGGGUGCGAGCGUUAAUCGGAAUUACUGGGCGUAAAGCGCGCGUAGGCGGUCUGAUAAGCCGGUUGUGAAAGCCCCGGGCUCAACCUGGGAACGGCAUCCGGAACUGUCAGGCUAGAGUGCAGGAGAGGAAGGUAGAAUUCCCGGUGUAGCGGUGAAAUGCGUAGAGAUCGGGAGGAAUACCAGUGGCGAAGGCGGCCUUCUGGACUGACACUGACGCUGAGGUGCGAAAGCGUGGGUAGCAAACAGGAUUAGAUACCCCAGUAGUC